UGGUAUGGAGGUGGCUAGGUGGGCUGCCUGCUCUUCUUCCCUUCUAUGCCUGGUCUGUGUGCUUCCUAGCUACGAGCUGACAGGAAUCCUUAUAAGGACUUCCAGCAAGUUGUGGCCUCAUUUAAGAGCACAGAUGGAAAGGGGGCACAGGAGGGCCAGCGCACUUCCCUGGGGAGAAGGAGAGAGAAGGACACGUGUCAGCUCACUGUGUUAAAGCAGGAACCCGUAUUUGUUUCAAACACCUUCUUUAAACAAUCAAGAAGAUCCUGUGUGGGGACUCCCUCAAGGAAGCCAAAUCCUGAGGACUCUGCUCUACCUCCACCCAGGCAAAACUGCUCCCUACAUUUCCUUAUGAGGUUUCCCAUAGCAGAGAGCAGGCAGAAGCCAUGGAAGAGCUCUGGGGAUGGGGCUCUGUCCCUACUCCAGCAGCCUGCAGGCACCCUUGAGAUAUGUCCAAGGAGGAGAUGUCCACUGGAUUUGACUGGGAGCCACCAGCCUGAUUCCAGCCACACUUCCAUCCACAGUGCUAAUGCACUCAGGCUGGGCUGGGUUCCCAACAUUUCACUUGGGAAACCCUGGACAUACAUAGAACCACAGAAUCAUUUGAGUUGAAAUGGAACCUUAAAGGCCAUUUGGACCAACUACCUGCAGUGAAAAAGGACACCUACAUCUAGAUCAGGAUGCUCAAAGCCUAGCACAGCCUGACCUUGAAUGUCUCCAGGGGCAGGGUUUCUACCACCUCUCUGGGCAAUACACUUUACCUGCUUUGACUUCAGUGGCGAAUAAGGAGCCUGCAUAUUUCAUUGCCUCUGAGCACAGAUACUUUUAAACUGAAAGCACUUUUUUCCUUUUGCUUCCAUGCAUAUCUGCUUACCCUACAUGGGAAUGAGAGCACACAGAGAGCAGUGGCUGCUUUGUCUCUAAGAAAAAUACCUUGCCACAACUUCUGCCCUUUCCCAGAGAGAAAACAUGCCCUGGUUUUACCGCAGUUAAACUCACUGACCUCAGCUGAGCCGGUCUUGACUGUGACCUGGAGCUUCAGGGAUCUCCAAACACUGCCAUGUGAUGGUUGCACCGAAUGGCCUGCGUCAAGCACUGAAGGACAACAGCGAGGUUGGCUCAGUGUCCACCUCAGCCACUUCCAACAGCCUUUCUCACACAGUGAGGUGACAUUCAACAGGCAGUCAUGCUUGGCCAUCCUGGCAGAGCCCAGCAGUGCCAAGUGUGGGCAGACUGGGGCAGGGGCAGCCUGUGGGGUGGCUCCUGGGGAUCCGUGUCCUCACUGUGCCAAUGAACCAAGGAGCACUGGCUGCUCCCAGCUUCCUGUUGCUGCUGAUACAAGCUGGGUGCGUGCUCCCCAACCAGGCUGAUCAUUGUUUUACUCUUCAAAAAACACACGCACUCAGGUGACUUGUUACAGAUUCACAGCACCAGGAAUUAGGAGCAUUUUUUAAUGCAAACAUGAUGUUAUGUGUGUUCUCAGGGCACUGCAGCGUGUGGAAACUGAGGAAAACAUCUCUCCCCUUAGAGCAGGACGAUUUUCUAACUGGGACAAGAGAAGAGUUGUCCUGGGUGAGAGCCAGGCAGAACCGACUGCUGGCCAAGGGAGAAGCUUUACUCCUCUAAAGUCUCUCCAAAAUCCCAUUGGCAAAGCUGAGUUAUACCACUGAGAAAUAAACAUCCUCAUUUUAAGAACUGCAGUGACAAAAACUGUACAAGACACAGGCAGUGGGCACUGGGACUUGGCACACAUCCCUUACAUUCUGCUUUGUCUCAGUCAGAAACAUUAAUGGACCUCUUGCCUGGCUUGACCCAAAGCAAUAAUGCCUUCCUAAGAGGCAGAGAGGUUUCCUAAUCUUGGCCCAAACUCAUGUGAUUCUCAUCUCAGGCUCACCUAUGCUUAAUGAGCCAACACUUUAGUGAAGCUUAGCAACUCCAGGGCUUGUAACUAGACCUGAAACAAGAGGACUCUUGCAGAGCAUGGAUCAAAACCAAACCUUCAGCUGUCCAGUGGGGAAUUCACAUCAUGGUAUAAGGCUGUGCUCUGCACACACACUAAAUAAAAUCUUGCCAAGGACAAAGCCACAGUGCCAAUAAAUGACCUGCACUGCUUUGAAAAAUGAAUAUAUAUUAUCUCUCUGGAUUACAAUAUAGGAAUAUGUCUUUUCCCAUCAAUUAGGAACAUCCUACUGUUUAUUUUAGUUUGCAGACCUGCUGCCAGAAAGGAAAUGAGAAUAUUAUCUCUAAUGAGUCUUCUCAUAAGAGUAAUUUUCUGAAAGAGGUACCAAUUCUAGAUUUGUGUCAAUAGUCCCUUGUCUGCAAGCCAUGAAAUAAACCUCCCAAGGAUAUUACUUC